rnacentral:tRNA from 1 species
UGGGCAAUAACUCAGUGGUAGAGCACGUGCUUAGCAUGCACGAGGUCCUGGGUUCUAUCCCCAGUACCUCCA